CCAAUUAAAGUGAUAUUAUUCGAAAUGAGAUUGUUUGUUUAUUCAGAGUCGCCAUUUGGAAUAAUUGUUAUGGUGUCCAAAAAGUCACCGGUUUAUUUUAAAUCCCAAAAUCGAGGAAAUUGAUUCUGUUUUUGGUCUGCGAACACAGAUGACUGGUUAAGGAAUUCUGUUAAUCCCGGGUAAAGGUGAGGCACUUCCGAGUUCUGUGGUUUCAGUAGGGUCGCUUACUAUUAAUAAUUAGCCUAAUUAUCUUAUUAAUUACAUAUUUAAAACCUAUUGUGCUUUUUACCUUUUAACCGCUUUUAGUAUUUAUGUAAUUAGUUUGAACAAGUCUUAAUGUGUGCUCGUUUGUUUCUGUACACUUUAUAAAUCACGUCACAUGAAACGCAUCCGCGACUUACAGUAUAUUAUUUUUUAUUAUUUGAAGUUAUGGUCAAAUCACGUAAAACACACACUUAAAUUGUAGUUUAUGUAUCAUGACUAUUUUAAUCACAAAAAAUGUAUCCAUAGUCACAAUAAUAUCAUGCGUAAAGCAACCUAUGAUGUUUAUAAUUAUUUGUUUCUAAGUUUGAGAUCAAUGCAUAAGUUAUUGGGAUAUGGAUGAGUCUAGUAAAAGAAAUGUGUCUUCAGCUACUAAAUGUCGGUAUAACCAAAUACGUUAUUACAAAUGAAUUCAUUGGGAAUAAAUUAUUCAUAUAAUCUAUCCAAGAAAAUCACAAAAUUGAACUAAACCAGUGUUCGACCAUAAACCAAGGUAUUAGGACAAUCAAAGUUCGGCCUAGUAGUCCUAAAACCCAUUAAGGAUUUCAGAAAAUAAAAACUAAUCUCAGUUGACCAAUAUUUAACAAAGACUCCAAUGAAUAAACUGAAAUGAAACGGCGAGCCUUAAACCAGUCCAAAUCAAGAUGCGAAACAUAAACGAAAGAAAGGCAUAAUUAACUUCAAAGUUACAGGUCCAAAUCAGAUACAUAACUUCAACAUGCUUCUUAAGAUCCUAUCACAAACAAACAGUAGGCGAGGCCUAAAUUCUUUCCACAUUAUCACGUAAACAUCUACUGGGAUGAUUAUCAGGAUUACUCAACUAAAUCAAAGAUGAUUAUGAAAUUGUGAAAUUAUUUUCUUUUUUUUUUCUUCUUCUUCUCACAACAUACAAACAUCACACAUAUAUAUAGCAUUUUCACCACCAUUGUUUGGA
rnacentral:lncRNA from 1 species